UACGUAGGGUGCGAGCGUUAAUCGGAAUUACUGGGCGUAAAGCGUGCGCAGGCGGUGAUGUAAGACCGAUGUGAAAUCCCCGGGCUUAACCUGGGAACUGCAUUGGUGACUGCAUCGCUCGAGUAUGGCAGAGGGGGGUAGAAUUCCACGUGUAGCAGUGAAAUGCGUAGAGAUGUGGAGGAAUACCGAUGGCGAAGGCAGCCCCCUGGGUCAAUACUGACGCUGAUGAGCGAAAGCCAGGGGAGCAAACGGG
rnacentral:rRNA from 1 species